CCGCUCCUGCCGCCGUGGUCGCUGGAGCUUUGCCUCUCUAGGCCGGCAGCGCCUCUCCUCCAUGGUCCUGUCUGUCAGCGCUGUUUUGGGAGCCCGCCGGUGAGGCCGGGCCACGCUCAGACACUUCGAUCGUCGAGUCUGUCACUGGGCAUGGCGGGUCAGUUCCGCAGCUACGUGUGGGACCCGCUGCUGAUCCUGUCGCAGAUCGUCCUCAUGCAGACCGUGUAUUACGGCUCGCUGGGCCUGUGGCUGGCGCUGGUGGACGGGCUAGUGCGAAGCAGCCCCUCGCUGGACCAGAUGUUCGACGCCGAGAUCCUGGGCUUUUCCACCCCUCCAGGCCGGCUCUCCAUGAUGUCCUUCAUCCUCAACGCCCUCACCUGGAGCUGACAUGGACCCAAAUCCUCGGGCCGCCCUGGAGCGCCAGCAGCUCCGCCUUCGGGAGCGGCAAAAAUUCUUCGAGGACAUUUUACAGCCAGAGACAGAGUUUGUCUUUCCUCUGUCCCAUCUGCAUCUCGAGUCGCAGAGACCCCCCAUAGGUAGUAUCUCAUCCAUGGAAGUGAAUGUGGACACACUGGAGCAAGUAGAACUUAUUGACCUUGGGGACCCGGAUGCAGCAGAUGUGUUCUUGCCUUGCGAAGAUCCUCCACCAACCCCCCAGUCGUCUGGGAUGGACAACCAUUUGGAGGAGCUGAGCCUGCCGGUGCCUACAUCAGACAGGACCACAUCUAGGACCUCCUCCUCCUCCUCCUCCGACUCCUCCACCAACCUGCAUAGCCCAAAUCCAAGUGAUGAUGGAGCAGAUACGCCCUUGGCACAGUCGGAUGAAGAGGAGGAAAGGGGUGAUGGAGGGGCAGAGCCUGGAGCCUGCAGCUAGCAGUGGGCCCCUGCCUACAGACUGACCACGCUGGCUAUUCUCCACAUGAGACCACAGGCCCAGCCAGAGCCUGUCGGGAGAAGACCAGACUCUUUACUUGCAGUAGGCACCAGAGGUGGGAAGGAUGGUGGGAUUGUGUACCUUUCUAAGAAUUAACCCUCUCCUGCUUUACUGCUAAUUUUUUCCUGCUGCAACCCUCCCACCAGUUUUUGGCUUACUCCUGAGAUAUGAUUUGCAAAUGAGGAGAGAGAAGAUGAGGUUGGACAAGAUGCCACUGCUUUUCUUAGCACUCUUCCCUCCCCUAAACCAUCCCGUAGUCUUCUAAUACAGUCUCUCAGACAAGUGUCUCUAGAUGGAUGUGAACUCCUUAACUCAUCAAGUAAGGUGGUACUCAAGCCAUGCUGCCUCCUUACAUCCUUUUUGGAACAGAGCACGGUAUAAAUAAUAAACUAAUAAUAAUAUGCCAACCA